GCUAGGCUCGGGUGGUGCAGACAUGUGGUCCUAGCUACUCAGGAGGGUGAAGUAAGAAGAUUGCUUGAUCUGAGUGGCUCAAGGCCAGUGAGAUUCUGACUCAAACAAGAGGAGGAAGAGAGUAAAGGCACGCACAAAUACACACUCAUUCCCGUCUCUUGCCAUGGAACAAAUGCCCUGUGCUGUCUCAGGACCUCAUCAACAAGGCCGUUACCAGAUGUGGCCCUUGACCUUGGACCAGAGCCAUGAGCCAAAAUAAACCUCUUUUAAAAAAUUAAAGUAUAGGGCCGGGAAGUUAGCUUAGUGGUUUGGCUGCCUGCUGUGCAAGUGCAAGGACCCGAGUUCAGUCCCUGGUACAAAAAAAUAAAAUAAAAUAAAGUACAAUUUAUGUACAGUAAAAUUCACCCCUUUGAGUAUACAUACAUAGCUUUGUGAGUUUUGACAAGUGUGUACAGCUCUGCAACUGCCACCACUACUGAGAUACAGAACUCACGAAUCCUACCCUGGAUAGGUUGCCCAGGGCCAUGGCAAAGUCUGCUGAGCCAUUACCUGGGAGCGAAGCCCGAGGCUCAGGAAUUCCCACCUUGCUCUCCAGGUUCACAUCCACUCACCUUCACACCAGCAGCACCUGAGAGCUGCCACACUCUCGUCCCAACCGGUAAAUCAUUUCUCUCUUACCAGGUGGUAUGAUUUUGGGGUACGGCAAACACAAUUAUAUAGCAAACAUGGUUUCUAAGUUGAGGGUGAUGGUGUGUUCCUGUAAUCCCAGCACUCUGAGAGGCUGAGGCAGGAGGAUCACAAGUUUGAACUCAGCCUGGGCAACUUGGCUAAUUAGUGAGACUUUCAAAAUAAAAAGACAAAAAGGGCUGGGAAUGAGGCUCAGUGCAAGGGCCCUGGGUUCAGUGUCCAGUAUCACACAUAGGAAGGGAGGGAGGAAAAGAAGAAAGGAGGAAGGAAAACAUCUGAUUUUUAAAGACUCCCUGCCUGGAACUGAACAUAGGCACCUACUUUGCACAGGCAAUAGAACUGUUGGUGAUGCAGAAAGCAGCCGAGACCGGGAGGCCCAUGGGCACCCGGAAUCUGGAAAGAAUCAGGAGGGGACAGUGGAGUCAUGAUGAAGUGGCUGGUUUGCAGCUGUGAAAAUCAUGCCUGGAGAGACUGACGGAGUGAGAUUCCUCUGUCUGUGGUUCAAAGGAGAUGGCUGUGGGACGGAAGGUAAGAAGAAUUCCCACCCUCCCCAUGCAGGAGUCUGUGUGACCGCCAAAAAGCUGGGGAACGGUGGCUCGGCCCCACCCAGUGACACUGGCAUGCAUGCCCCGGUGUGGAAGUGACCACAGCUGCCAGGCUCUGAGUCAGCGGGCCUGGGGCAGCAGAAGAGAAGGAGCCUCUCGUGCUCACGUGGCUGGGCCGGCGCUGCCUCGUGCAUUCUCCUGUCUCUCAGCCUGCAGGAAGCAUAGAUGUUUGAAAGGACGAAUCACACAUGGCCUUGUCCUGGAGCCCGGCCAGGACCACUUCCUCAAAGGGAGGCAACCACGAUCCACCCAGUUGCAGUCCCCCUUGCUUCUCAAAAGAAGUGCACCUCUUCUUCCUUUUAGUUUCUGCUUUGCUGUUUGAGAAGUGGCUAGAUAUGCUUCUCAAGGAGCAGGUCAGGAACCCACAGCCUGGGGUGCAGAGCCCACCCACCUGCCCGCCCCACAACCAGAAGCACCUGGCCUGGGCUGGACCCAUGUGGCCCCAGCUUCUAUAACAGCAUCACUGACGGGUUCUGGCUGGUGUGCAUUGGUGAGGUCCUCGAGAGGGAGCCCCUGUCUGCAGAGCUGUGUAAACUGGCUGGAGGCUGGUGCUGAUGUCUGGGAGAAGCAGUCAAGCUGAUCAUCUGGCUGCCCUCAGCAACCCAGGAGCCUACUGGGCUUGUGAGAAUGGAACUCAAGGCCACAGUCGAGCAGUAUCAGUCCCACACAGGCUCAGGGGAGGGCACAGGGGAUCCACAUGCAAGUUCCAGGCUGCCUACCACUGUGGGGCACGCCCACCCCAUUUGGUGGGAGUGUGAGGAAGAGAGGACCACGGAGAAGAGCAGGCUGGGGGUGGUAUGCAGUGAUGACAGGGCCUCUGCCCACAGGUAGGGAGAGGGAGGGGACAGGACAAGGUGUGGC
rnacentral:lncRNA from 1 species